rnacentral:lncRNA from 1 species
CUGAGACAUAUGCACAGAGAUUGUUCAAUUGGCUUCAAUGGUGAGAAAAGCAGUCUAGCACAGUCUAAGCUUCCAAAUUUUAAUGUGCAUAUAAACCACCUGGGUGGGAGAGUGUAGUUAAAAUGCAGAUCCUGAUUCAGUAGGUCUGGGUUGGCCAAGGAUUCUGCAUUUCCAACAAGUUCCUAGGUGAUGUCCACUCUGAUGGUUAAAGAAUCAUACUUAGAGAGUGGCUGGGGUCUCUUGGUUUUAGAGAUCAUGCCCCUUAAUAAUAACUCCCUACUUUUUCAGAGUACUUUCACACUUCUGGUACCCUGUCUUCCUCACAAUAACUCUAGGAAGCAACUGAGGCAGAUGAUUUGAUCUCCUUUUUACUAACAAGGAAACUGAGUCUGGGAAAGGUUAAGUGCCCUGCCUAAAGUCCCCAGUGAACCUGUGACUUCUGUCUCUAUUUCAGAAGCAUUUCUAAUGAAUCCCUACCUCCUAGUGCUCCUCCAUAGAGAGUUAUUGUGGAAGCCACCAUGUAAAUAUCCAUCUUCAUAUUUGUUUUCAAUGUGUAAACAUUUAAAUCUGAUGGUGAGCCUCACUCAAACUUGGGCAUAAAAAGGGGAGACAAUAAUUGAUAUGGCUUAAAUCAUUUACAUGGGGUCACCUGGAUUUAUGAUGUUCAGGGAGACCACAGUAAGGCAGCACUGGCAGAACCUCCCAGUAGCCCAGCAGUAGAAGUAAUUAGUAAACCUACCUCAUGUCAGACUUUUGCAGUCUGGGGUAAGGUUUGUAGGGGUGUGAUCUGAAUCACAACAAACAGGAGUCUAUUUAAGAAUUCAUGCCUGGGAGUAAUUAUGGUCAUUAUGGAAUGCCUUCUCCAGACUGUGCUAUGAGAAGUAAUACAAGGCCCUCCAGGCUUGAAAGGUGGCUCCAUCACUCUCUGGUCCUGUCAACUCUGCCAAGUUACUUACCUUCUCUGAGCCUUAGUUUCCUCAUCUGUAACAUGGGGAUAAUAAUAGUACUUACCUAUGUCACAGAGUUUAUAGGAUGACUGAAUGAGUUCAUACUAGAUAAACUCUAUGAAUUUGCUGAUAUUAACCUGUUUUUUUGUUUUUUGUUUUUUGGUUUUUUUUGAGACAGAGUCUUGCUCUGUCACCCAGGCUGGAGUGCAGUGGUGCAAUCUUGGCUCACUGCAAACUCUGCCUGCCAGGUCCGAGCAAUUCUCCUGCCUCAGCCUCCUGAGUAGCUGGGAUUACAGGUGCGCAGGACCACGCCCGGCUAAUUUUUGUAUUUUUAGUAGAGACAGGGUUGGCCAGGCUGGUCUCGAACUCCUGACCUCGUGAUCCACCUGCCUCGGCCUCCUAAAGUGCUGGGAUUACAGGUGUGAGCCACCGUGCCUGGCCGAUAUUGACCUGUUCUUGACCUACAAUAAUGGCAGUUCCAUUUGGCCCAACCUAAUACAUGUAAAGUGUUUAGAAAGAUGCUGCUGGCACACAGUAAAUUCCCAACAAAUACCAGUGAUGAUAUCAUGUGCCAGGAUUAUGCUAAAUGCUUUACAUGUAUUCUAUCAUUUAGUCUUUGAAACAAUGUCCUGUGACAAUUGUUAUUAUUCCAAGUUUAUUAGUUGAGAAAUGUUGUCUCAGACCCUUUAAAGCAUCUUGCUCAGUUAAUAUGCGGAGGGCUGGAAUCGAACUCAGGCCAUUUUUGCUACAAAGCUCAAGCUCUUAAUCACUCUGGUGUAGUGCAAGGUUAAAUUGGGACACUGCUUGAAUUCUUCCUGAGGCUUUCAGAUGCAAGGCUUUCCUCCAGAGCAGUAGCUCUCAAAGUGCAAUCCCUGUCCCAGCAGUGUCAGUAUUACCAGGGAACUGAUUAGAAAUGCAAAUGCUUGGGCUCCACCCCAGACCUACUGAAUCAGGAACCUUAAGGGUGGGGUCCAGCAUUGUGGUUUAAUAAGCCCUCCCUGCAAUUGUGAUGUAUGCUAAGAAGGUUUGAGAACCACUUCUCUGGAGACACUGACUCAUACUUCGUUGGUAGUCAUCAUUAGGCUCAAUGAUUAUAACAGUAAAUGACUAAAGCAGUUUUGAACUCAC